UUUGUUGAUAUGAUAGGGGACUAGCCAUAUACAAGCAGUCUGCGGAAGUGCAGGUUCUAGAGAAAAUGUGUUUUCUUACAAAGAUUACCCAAUCUUCAUUGUCAAUUGGAAUCGCGUAUCUGCUCCAAAAACUUGCAGAGAAUUGCUAAGGAAAAGAGCAAACCUUUUAGGUGCCUAUAGGAAACAAUACCAAGGGAUGGGAAAAAAAAUGUCCUUCCU
rnacentral:lncRNA from 1 species